rnacentral:rRNA from 1 species
CUACGGGUGGCAGCAGUGAGGAAUAUUGCACAAUGGGGGAAACCCUGAUGCAGCAACGCCGCGUGGAGGAUGACGCAUUUCGGUGUGUAAACUCCUUUUAUGAGUCAAGAAAAUGACGGUAGCUCAUGAAUAAGCACCGGCUAACUCCGUGCCAGCAGCCGCGGUAAUACGGAGGGUGCAAGCGUUACUCGGAAGCACUGGGCGUAAAGGACGCGUAGGCGGGAUGUCAAGUCAGGGGUGAAAUCCUAUGGAUCAACCAUAGAACUGCACUUGAAACUGGCAACCUAGAGUAUGGGAGGGGGAGAUGGAAUUAGUGGUGUAGGGGUAAAAUCCGUAGAUAUCACUAGGAAUACCGAAAGCGAAGGCGAUCUCCUGGAACAUUACUGACGCUAAGGCGUGAAAGCGUGGGGAGCAAACAGGAUUAGAUACCCUAGUAGUC